AGAGUUUGAUCCUGGCUCAGGAUGAACGCUGGCGGCAUGCCUAAUACAUGCAAGUCGAACGGAGAAGCCUAACAGAAGAUGCUUGCAUCGGAAGAUAGAUACUUCUCAGUGGCGAACGGGUGAGUAACACGUAGGUAACCUGCCCAUGUGCCCGGGAUAAUUUCUGGAAACGGAAACUAAAACCGGAUAGGUAAUAGAGAAGCAUUUCUGUAUUAUUAAAGAAGCCUCAAAGCUUUGAACAUGGAUGGACCUGCGGUGCAUUAGCUAGUUGGUAAGGUAACGGCCUACCAAGGCGACGAUGCAUAGCCGACCUGAGAGGGCGAACGGCCACAUUGGGACUGAGACACGGCCCAAACUCCUACGGGAGGCAGCAGUAGGGAAUUUUCGUCAAUGGGGGGAACCCUGAACGAGCAAUGCCGCGUGAGUGAAGACGGUCUUCGGAUUGUAAAGCUCUGUUGUGAGAGAAAAAGGAUAUAUAUAGGAAAUGAUAUGUAUUUGAUGGUAUCUCACCAGAAAGUCACGGCUAACUACGUGCCAGCAGCCGCGGUAAUACGUAGGUGGCGAGCGUUAUCCGGAAUGAUUGGGCGUAAAGGGUACGUAGGCGGCAUGAUAAGUCUGGAGUGAAAGGCUACAGCUCAACUGUAGUAUGCUCUGGAAACUGUCAAGCUAGAGUGCAGAAGAGGGCAAUGGAACUCCAUGUGUAGCGGUAAAAUGCGUAGAUAUAUGGAAGAACACCGGUGGCGAAGGCGGUUGCCUGGUCUGAAACUGACGCUGAAGUACGAAAGCGUGGGGAGCAAAUAGGAUUAGAUACCCUAGUAGUCCACGCCGUAAACGAUGAGAACUAGGUGUUGGGGGAAUAACUCAGUGCCGCAGUUAACGCAAUAAGUUCUCCGCCUGGGGAGUAUGCACGCAAGUGUGAAACUCAAAGGAAUUGACGGGGGCCCGCACAAGCGGUGGAGUAUGUGGUUUAAUUCGACGCAACGCGAAGAACCUUACCAAGACUUGACAUUGAUUGAAAGGCCUAGAGAUAGGUCCCUUCUCUUCGGAGAACAAGAAAACAGGUGGUGCAUGGCUGUCGUCAGCUCGUGUCGUGAGAUGUUGGGUUAAGUCCC
rnacentral:rRNA from 1 species